UACAACGAAUCAUGCAGAGCCAAUCUGGGGUUGCAAGCUAUGACUCUGGAAGCCAAGGUUCUUCAUAAAACACUUUGUGGAGAAGCACUCAGAUAAAGACAGCAUUUUCAACAUGGUAUUUUAAGCUUGGAAAAGAAAACCUUUCAAACUGAAAGUCUGAACAAGUAGGAUGGAAAGAAAAAGAAGACUGGCCUUGACCAUCAGCAUCAGUUUGAGCUGCACUAAACUGAAUCUGAAAAAAAAUCCCAGAAGUUCAA